rnacentral:rRNA from 1 species
AUUGAACGCUGGCGGCAGGCCUAACACAUGCAAGUCGAGCGGAGCGACGGACGGGUGAGUAAUGCCUAGGAAUCUGCCUGGUAGUGGGGGAUAACAUCAGGAACCGGGCGCUAAUCCCGCAUACUAUCAGAUGAGCCUAGGUCGGAUUCGCUAGUUGGUGGGGUAAAGGCCUAUCAAGGAGACGAUCCGUAACUGGUCUGAGAGGAUGAUCAGUCACACUGGAAAUGAGACACGGUCCAGACUCCUACGGGCGGCAGCAGUGGGGAAUAUUGGACAAUGGGCGAAAGCUUGAUCCAGCCAUGACGCGUGUGUGAAGAAGGUCUUCGGAUUGUAGAGCACUUUAAGUUGGGAGGCGGUACCAACAGAAUAAGCACCGGCUAACUUCGUGCCAGCAGCCGCGGUAAUAC